GACGAACGCUGGCGGCGUGCUUAACACAUGCAAGUCGAACGAAGUGGCGAACGGGUGAGUAACGCGUAAUCAACCUGCUCUUCAGAGGGGGACAACAGUUGGAAACGACUGCUAAUACCGCAUACUGUAGGAGGGGAUUGCGUCUGAUUAGCUAGUUGGAGGGGUAACGGGCCAACAAGGCGAUGAUCAGUAGCCGGUCGUGAAGGAGGAACGGCCAAAUUGGGACUGAGACACGGCCCAGACUCCUACGGGAGGCAGCAGUGGGGAAUCAUCCGAAAGGGACGAAAGUCUGACGGAGCAACGCCGCGUGAGUGAUGACGGCCUGCGGGUUGUAAAGCUCUGUUAAGCGGGACGCGGUACCGGAAUAGAAAGCCACGGCUAACUACGUGCCAGCCGCCGCGGUAAUAC
rnacentral:rRNA from 1 species